rnacentral:rRNA from 1 species
GUGGGGAAUCUUGCGCAAUGGGCGAAAGCCUGACGCAGCCAUGCCACGUGAAUGAUGAAGGUCUUAGGAUUGUAAAAUUCUUUCACCGGGGACGAUAAUGACGGUACCCGGAGAAGAAGCCCCGGCUAACUUCGUGCCAGCAGCCGCGGUAAUACGAAGGGGGCUAGCGUUGCUCGGAAUUACUGGGCGUAAAGGGCGCGUAGGCGGACAGUUUAGUCAGAGGUGAAAGCCCAGGGCUCAACCUUGGAAUUGCCUUUGAUACUGGCUGUCUUGAGUACGGGAGAGGUGAGUGGAACUCCGAGUGUAGAGGUGAAAUUCGUAGAUAUUCGGAAGAACACCAGUGGCGAAGGCGACUCACUGGCCCGUUACUGACGCUGAGGCGCGAAAGCGUGGGGAGCAAACAGGAUUAGAAACCCGGGUAGUCC